ensembl:processed_transcript si:dkey-90a24.1 si:dkey-90a24.1
AGACCAUUUGGCACAAAGGAUACUUUAAGAACUGCAAUUUCAGAACUAACAUUUAUGGUACAUUUGCUUCCCACAGAAGCCGAAACAUACUCCUCACUCAUUGCAUGACUUCAAGGCAGACAUAAUAAAAAGGUAUGUAUGUUCAUUCAAUGCAGAUCAACACAGUGAUGUGGAAGGUCAAAGUGGGGAGCUGUCUGAUGAAGGUCAAGAUGACAAUAAUGAUGUGACAGUCCUGCCAAACUGCAUAGAAAAAAAAUGGCUUUGUUGUUUCUAAAACGGGAGAGCACUUUUAAUGUAUCUUACGGUGUAUAGAUAGAGGUAUAGAAGAGGUUGUUAAUAAGUUAAAUUUUAUAUCUCGAUCAGCAUCUGGACCCAUCAUCAAAGUUGUUGCAGAUAAAAUGGGCAAGAAAAAAGGGAUAUCUUGGAGCGCUGGCCUGCAUUAUCAGGUGCAACACAGAUAAAUGAAGAAUUCAAGAGGAUAACCACUGUAGGUCUUGAAUCCACAUUUAUGGCCAAACUUGACAAACGCACCCAAAACUAAUGGACCUGGCCUCAUCCAGGAGAGGAGCUAAAGGGGAAAGAAUCAGAAGGAUUAAGGAUAUGCUUCUUGAGAACAAUGCAGUUGAAGUAUGGAGAGAAGUAGCCAUUCACUGUCUUGUUGUCUAUCUUGGAGAGAAAGAAGAGGAUCUUUUUAAGGAGUUUGCU